rnacentral:rRNA from 1 species
UCGAGAAUCUUCGGCAAUGGACGAAAGUCUGACCGAGCGACGCCGCGUGCGGGAUGAAGGCCUUCGGGUUGUAAACCGCUGUCAGAGGGGAGGAAAUGCCAGGGGGUCAUCCCCCUGGUUUGACCGAUCCUCAGAGGAAGUACGGGCUAAGUUCGUGCCAGCAGCCGCGGUAACACGAACCGUACGAACGUUAUUCGGAAUCACUGGGCUUAAAGAGUGCGUAGGCGGCUUGGCAAGUUGGGUGUGAAAUCCCUCGGCUCAACCGAGGAACUGCGCCCAAAACUGCCAGGCUUGAGGGAGACAGAGGUGAGCGGAACUGAUGGUGGAGCGGUGAAAUGCGUUGAUAUCAUCAGGAACACCGGUGGCGAAGGCGGCUCACUGGGUCUCUUCUGACGCUGAGGCACGAAAGCUAGGGGAGCGAACGGGAUUAGAUACCCCCGUAGUCC